GGCUCGUUGGUCAAGGGGUAUGAUUCCCCUCGCUUUGGGUGCUGGAGAUCCCGGGUUCACAUCCCGGACGAGCCC